rnacentral:rRNA from 1 species
CGGAAGGAUCAUUACAAGUGAGGCUACCGAACGUUGGAAACAGCGGUUAGGAGCUUACACCCACCCGUGUUUACAUACUAUUGUUGCUUUGGCGGGCCGUGGCCUCCACUGCGGGCUCUGCUCGUGUGUGCCCGCCAGAGGACCAAACUCUGAAUGUUAGUGAUGUCUGAGUACUAUCUAAUAGUUAAAACUUUCAACAACGGAUCUCUUGGUUCUGGCAUCGAUGAAGAACGCAGCGAAAUGCGAUAAGUAAUGUGAAUUGCAGAAUUCAGUGAAUCAUCGAAUCUUUGAACGCACAUUGCGCCCUGUGGUAUUCCGCAGGGCAUGCCUGUUCGAGCGUCAUUUAACCACUCACGCCUAGCGUGGUAUUGGGGCACGCGGUCUCGCGGCCCUCAAAAUUAGUGGCGGCGCCGGUGGGCUCUAAGCGUAGUACAUACUCCCGCUAUAGAGUUCCCCCGGUGGCUCGCCAGAACCCCCAAUUUUUUACAGGUUGACCUCGGAUCAGGUAGGGAUACCCGCUGAACUUAAGCAUAUCAAUAAGCGGAGGAA